GCUGGGUGUGGUGGUGCAUGCUUGUAAUCCCAGCAGCUUGGGAAGCUAAGGCCGGAGGAUCGAGAGUUCAAAGCCAGCCUCAGCAAUUUAGUGAGGCACUAAACAACUCAGUGAGACCUUGCCUCUA
rnacentral:sRNA from 1 species